rnacentral:rRNA from 1 species
UUUUGGAGCCAGCCGCCUAAGGUGGGACAGAUGAUUGGGGUGAAGUCGUAACAAGGUAGCCGUAUCGGAAGGUGCGGCUGGAUCACCUCCUUUCUAUGGAGA